GUUUACGGCACACCGGCCUGAGUACGCCUGAUCUCGUCCGAUCUCGGAAGCUAAGCAGGGUCGGGCCUGGUUAGUACUUGAAUGGGAGACCGCCUGGGAAUACCAGGUGCUGUAAGCU
rnacentral:rRNA from 1 species